UCAAGUGUAGAAACCAUCAGGAUAUGAAUAUAUUCACAUAUUCUUCAGUAAGAAUUGAGUUACAUCAUAGCUCAGACUGGGAACACACACACACGCACACGCACACGCACACGCACACGCACAGACACACGCACGCACAUACACAUGCAGGCACAUAGACACACGCAGGCACGUAGACACAUGCACGCACACACACACACACAAAUACAGUUGACUUCCAUGUCUUGAGCUCAGUUCAAGUGUAGAAACCAUCAGGAUAUGAAUAUAUUCACAUAUUCUUCAGGAAGAAUUGAGUUGCAUCAUAGCUCAGACUGGGAACACGAACACACACACACACA